rnacentral:rRNA from 1 species
AGGUGCUUGCACCUUAUCUUAGCGGCGGACGGGUGAGUAAUGCUUAGGAAUCUGCCAUUUAGUGGGGGACAACAUUCCGAAAGGAAUGCUAAUACCGCAUACGUCCUACGGGAGAAAGCAGGGGAUCUUCGGACCUUGCGCUAAAUGAUGAGCCUAAGUCGGAUUAGCUAGUUGGUGGGGUAAAGGCCUACCAAGGCGACGAUCUGUAGCGGGUCUGAGAGGAUGAUCCGCCACACUGGGACUGAGACACGGCCCAGACUCCUACGGGAGGCAGCAGUGGGGAAUAUUGGACAAUGGGCGGAAGCCUGAUCCAGCCAUGCCGCGUGUGUGAAGAAGGCCUUUUGGUUGUAAAGCACUUUAAGCGAGGAGGAGGCUACUAGUACUAAUACUACUGGAUAGUGGACGUUACUCGCAGAAUAAGCACCGGCUAACUCUGUGCCAGCAGCNNNNNUAA